rnacentral:snRNA from 1 species
AGCUUUGCGCAGUGGCUGUAUCGUAGCCAAUGAGGUUUAUCCGAGGUGCGAUUAUUGCUAAUGGAAUCCUGA